UACAAGAAAAAAAAAAUUGCAACCCUCAAUUUAGAAAAACUUUCAGAAGUAGUUGGGCCUGCUUCCUGAGUCCCUUUAAAAGCAAAACAUCUCUAGAAUAUAUUUGGUACAGUCUUGCAUGGAGGUGAAAGGAUGGAGAAAAUAGCCCUGGAGGGCCCGAACAGCCCCAUAGGAAGCCAAAAAAGACACAAGAUGCCUGGUACCCAGUGCCUCACAUGACAAGACAUCCUACUUACAGAAGGGCAAUCUUUGCACCACCUUUGGGAAGCCAGGUUGACAUGGCCGGUGCAACCACAAAGCCUCCCCCUGUGGCCACACGCAGAGCCUGAAGCCUCACGUAGGUAAGGCCUGCUUCCGGAAAGCAAGCGGUCAUCUGCACCACCCCAAUCAGCUAGGGGCAGAAGCUGUCCGUCAGCAGGAUUCCAUGCAGCAGAUACCACUGGCCUACAAGCUCCAGAGCUUUCGACGUGCAGGAUACGCACAUGUAAGUGCACACAGAGGGGCCCCAGGCAGCGGCAUGGACGGGGAUCCAGGAAGUUGACCUGAAAGCUACCCACCUUCUAUUUCGCUCCUGUUCCAGGCAACCUACUCCUAGUUAAGGCAACAGCACAAGGGGGCAAGUGCACGGAACCAGGACUCAGGAGACUGGGGUCCCGCCCCGACUCUGCUGCUAAUGCCUCAUACAGUCUCAGAAGAGUCAGUCAUGUCCUAUCUCAGGGCAUCAGCCUGUCCUCCUGUCAAAUGGACUAAUACUACCUGCUAUGCCUAACUCACAGAGCUCAGUCAUUCAGCAAGCAAUUAAUGAGCAUCUACUACUGGCAAGACAUUGACUCAGGACGCACCUGAGAUACAGUGGCAAACAAGACGGGCAAAAGCCCUUCCUCAUGGAGUGUACCCUGUAGGGUUGGGACAGAACCUAAUACGAAUGCAUGCAGGAAUGGGUUGAAAAACCAUGUUUGCCACACUUGCAGCAUGGAUGGAGAUAUCCUCCGCUCCGGGCCAAUUAUGGACCGGACUCACACACACAGCAGACCUGCUGGGAAUCAAUCACUGACCACAGGCAUUUGCAUGUAGUAACCCUACAAUCACAAGCAGCCCCAACACCAAGGAAGAAGACACUAUAAAUACACACACUCCACAAACAAGCAAGUUGGGGCCCAGAGAAGCGAAGCCGUUUUUUUUGUUUGGUUGGUUGGUUGGGGUUCUUUUUUUUUUUUGGUUUUUGUGUUUUGUUUUUUUCAGGAUAACACAACCAGUAGAAGGCAGAGACAGGAUUAAAAUGCAAGCAUUCUGAUGCUGAGGACGUACAUAUCUAAUAACCACUACGUCGUCUUGUUUGUACUGAGAAGGAAAUCAAGUGGCCACCCCUUUUGAUAGCUCCUAUGCGGGCUGGAGGUGUUGAACUUUCUAUGUUGAAUUCUCCCAUCAUGACCUAGAGGAGUGAGGCCAUGCUGCUCUAUGCCAGCAGGAGUGCCCCAGAAGGAGAAAAGGAAGCUUUCGUCUCCUAGACGAUGGACAUCCUCUGGGAGAGGACAGCUGCACCCAGGACACAGGCCUUCAACUGACAAGGAGUUGGUCCCUGCAUCUCCCAUUCUGGGCCACCUCCUGGCCAGGGAUCUCCAGAAGGGCAGAUAUCUAGUUGUGGGCUGCAGUGAGAGCAGUGAUCCCUGUGCAUGGAGGAGGCAGGCCCAGACUAGGACGCUGGCGGGGAUACGUUAUGCCCUGUAAGGCAAUCCCCUGGCUCUGUGACCCUCUGUUUAUUUCCCUAGUGUCAGCCCCAAGUUUUCCAUCAAGUCCCGUUUCAGUGUCCCAGGCCAGAUGUCCAGCAACACGAGGAAUUUAAGGAAAGGCUGAGAAGCCAUGUACCCAAGCUGGGGCCACUGGUGCCCCUUUAAAACUAGUAUCUUAUGAAAGUACUAACAGAUGAGAAAUUCCUCGAGAAAGGUAAAUAUUGGAGAAAGUCAGGAUGAGCUACCCUUUGGCCACGUGGAGUUUUGCUCCACUGCCGAUGUGGAGGAUGAAAGUCCUAGGUAACUUGGGCAAAUAAUAGCUCCCUUUUUGGAAGAGGGGGAUGCUAAGAGGGGCAGAGAAUGGAAGAGGAGGAAAAGGUGUGAGGUUCAGGGACUGUGCAAGGAUCACCACCCCCCCCCCCACCCAUCUAAGAGACUCUCCUGAGCCUUGAAAUAAUGCUCAUGUCUGGUGUGCUCACCACCAGGGCCACGGUGGAGCAGACUAGAAAGGAAAUGAAGGCAGAGACAGGGCCCCCUCUUGGGGGAGUCCUGGUACAUCCAGGUGGGAGGAUAGAGCAUCAAGGCAGAAGACUUCCCAGGCCAGAUGGGAGCAUGGUUCCUCAGAGGCUCCAUCUGAUACUGGUUCUGGCUGGAGCUGCCUCUCUCUCAACACCUGUAGUGUAGACCUGGGCCUGUCUGGUCCCGAGAGGUGCCAGCACCCAGAGCUAUCUUCAUUCUGCCGCUGGAAGCCAUGGGAAUUCCCUGGGGCCUGGGGCUCCCUCUGGGAUUUCACACUGCUCUCUCCUGCCUCGCUUUCUCUUUUAUCUCCUGGAUUAACAUAUCGCUGUGAUGUCGAUGUGGUCAGCCUGCCCGUCUGAGCUUUGUGACCUCAUGCAGAGCUGGAAGGGGCCAUGGAAAACAUUCCCAAGCAAGCAUCUCAGACCCGGGCAUGCCUCUCUCCCCCGGAAACCGGGCUGCGUCUAGGCAGAGGCAAGGCUGGGGACUGGUGAGGGCCGGGUGUGCGUCUUCUGAGCACAGUUGCAACAGGGGAGCAUUUGUAAGGUUCUAACAGGUGAUUCUUAUGGCCACGACCAGGAAGCACUGGCCUGGGCCACUCACUACAGACACCAGGAAGAGAAGCCCACCAGGGCCCUCUGCAUGAACACAAGCUUCUCAAAGCAAGCUGAGCAAUCUCCCCAGCAAUCCUCAGAGCCGGAUUUUGCACAACUGGAGGUGAGUGUGCUAUUUCUUUAACCCUCUGAAAGCCCAACAGAAAAACUGUCACAGGCACCCUGAGGACGUUUCCUGAGAACCAAGUCCUUUCUGAUGAGGUGAGGAAAACUCCACGGAAGAUUCCAAGCGAGUCUUUGCCUCCAUCUAACGAGCACACAUACUUUCCAAGGCCCUCCUGUUCCCGGAAACGUUGCCAUCUGCAAAGAUGGCAGGCCUUGACAGGCCCUAACUUCACGGUAAUGGCACAAAGCCCACAGAGUCAACCACCACGGUGCAUCCUCUUGGACCAGCAGUUCCUGGGGGACUUGGGGACAGUGAGAAACAAGGAAGAUGCAGGAAGUGUUGAUCACAAGGGGGGUUGAGUGGGGUCGGUGAUGACAUUUUACUAGCUCCCCACAUCCUGUGAAGGUGAUUUCUCUUCUGAGAAAAAACAUCCGCUAACAGGGACUUCAUCUUCAA